rnacentral:rRNA from 1 species
GGGUUGUGAGGUUAAGCGACUAAGCGUACACGGUGGAUGCCCUGGCAGUCAGAGGCGAUGAAGGACGUGCUAAUCUGCGAUAAGCGUCGGUAAGGUGAUAUGAACCGUUAUAACCGGCGAUUUCCGAAUGGGGAAACCCAGUGUGAUUCGUCACACUAUCAUUAACUGAAUCCAUAGGUUAAUGAGGCGAACCGGGGGAACUGAAACAUCUAAGUACCCCGAGGAAAAGAAAUCAACCGAGAUUCCCCCAGUAGCGGCGAGCGAACGGGGAGCAGCCCAGAGCCUGAAUCAGUGUGUGUGUUAGUGGAAGCGUCUGGAAAGGCGCGCGAUACAGGGUGACAGCCCCGUACACAAAAAUGCACAUACUGUGAGCUCGAUGAGUAGGGCGGGACACGUGGUAUCCUGUCUGAAUAUGGGGGGACCAUCCUCCAAGGCUAAAUACUCCUGACUGACCGAUAGUGAACCAGUACCGUGAGGGAAAGGCGAAAAGAACCCCGGCGAGGGGAGUGAAAAAGAACCUGAAACCGUGUACGUACAAGCAGUGGGAGCCUCUUUAUGGGGUGACUGCGUACCUUUUGUAUAAUGGGUCAGCGACUUAUAUUCUGUAGCAAGGUUAACCGAAUAGGGGAGCCGAAGGGAAACCGAGUCUUAACUGGGCGUUAAGUUGCAGGGUAUAGACCCGAAACCCGGUGAUCUAGCCAUGGGCAGGUUGAAGGUUGGGUAACACUAACUGGAGGACCGAACCGACUAAUGUUGAAAAAUUAGCGGAUGACUUGUGGCUGGGGGUGAAAGGCCAAUCAAACCGGGAGAUAGCUGGUUCUCCCCGAAAGCUAUUUAGGUAGCGCCUCGUGAAUUCAUCUCCGGGGGUAGAGCACUGUUUCGGCAAGGGGGUCAUCCCGACUUACCAACCCGAUGCAAACUGCGAAUACCGGAGAAUGUUAUCACGGGAGACACACGGCGGGUGCUAACGUCCGUCGUGAAGAGGGAAACAACCCAGACCGCCAGCUAAGGUCCCAAAGUCAUGGUUAAGUGGGAAACGAUGUGGGAAGGCCCAGACAGCCAGGAUGUUGGCUUAGAAGCAGCCAUCAUUUAAAGAAAGCGUAAUAGCUCACUGGUCGAGUCGGCCUGCGCGGAAGAUGUAACGGGGCUAAACCAUGCACCGAAGCUGCGGCAGCGACACUAUGUGUUGUUGGGUAGGGGAGCGUUCUGUAAGCCUGUGAAGGUGUACUGUGAGGUAUGCUGGAGGUAUCAGAAGUGCGAAUGCUGACAUAAGUAACGAUAAAGCGGGUGAAAAGCCCGCUCGCCGGAAGACCAAGGGUUCCUGUCCAACGUUAAUCGGGGCAGGGUGAGUCGACCCCUAAGGCGAGGCCGAAAGGCGUAGUCGAUGGGAAACAGGUUAAUAUUCCUGUACUUGGUGUUACUGCGAAGGGGGGACGGAGAAGGCUAUGUUGGCCGGGCGACGGUUGUCCCGGUUUAAGCGUGUAGGCUGGUUUUCCAGGCAAAUCCGGAAAAUCAAGGCUGAGGCGUGAUGACGAGGCACUACGGUGCUGAAGCAACAAAUGCCCUGCUUCCAGGAAAAGCCUCUAAGCAUCAGGUAACAUCAAAUCGUACCCCAAACCGACACAGGUGGUCAGGUAGAGAAUACCAAGGCGCUUGAGAGAACUCGGGUGAAGGAACUAGGCAAAAUGGUGCCGUAACUUCGGGAGAAGGCACGCUGAUAUGUAGGUGAAGCGACUUGCUCGUGGAGCUGAAAUCAGUCGAAGAUACCAGCUGGCUGCAACUGUUUAUUAAAAACACAGCACUGUGCAAACACGAAAGUGGACGUAUACGGUGUGACGCCUGCCCGGUGCCGGAAGGUUAAUUGAUGGGGUUAGCGCAAGCGAAGCUCUUGAUCGAAGCCCCGGUAAACGGCGGCCGUAACUAUAACGGUCCUAAGGUAGCGAAAUUCCUUGUCGGGUAAGUUCCGACCUGCACGAAUGGCGUAAUGAUGGCCAGGCUGUCUCCACCCGAGACUCAGUGAAAUUGAACUCGCUGUGAAGAUGCAGUGUACCCGCGGCAAGACGGAAAGACCCCGUGAACCUUUACUAUAGCUUGACACUGAACAUUGAGCCUUGAUGUGUAGGAUAGGUGGGAGGCUUUGAAGUGUGGACGCCAGUCUGCAUGGAGCCGACCUUGAAAUACCACCCUUUAAUGUUUGAUGUUCUAACGUUGGCCCCUGAUCGGGGUUGCGGACAGUGUCUGGUGGGUAGUUUGACUGGGGCGGUCUCCUCCUAAAGAGUAACGGAGGAGCACGAAGGUUGGCUAAUCCUGGUCGGACAUCAGGAGGUUAGUGCAAUGGCAUAAGCCAGCUUGACUGCGAGCGUGACGGCGCGAGCAGGUGCGAAAGCAGGUCAUAGUGAUCCGGUGGUUCUGAAUGGAAGGGCCAUCGCUCAACGGAUAAAAGGUACUCCGGGGAUAACAGGCUGAUACCGCCCAAGAGUUCAUAUCGACGGCGGUGUUUGGCACCUCGAUGUCGGCUCAUCACAUCCUGGGGCUGAAGUAGGUCCCAAGGGUAUGGCUGUUCGCCAUUUAAAGUGGUACGCGAGCUGGGUUUAGAACGUCGUGAGACAGUUCGGUCCCUAUCUGCCGUGGGCGCUGGAGAACUGAGGGGGGCUGCUCCUAGUACGAGAGGACCGGAGUGGACGCAUCACUGGUGUUCGGGUUGUCAUGCCAAUGGCACUGCCCGGUAGCUAAAUGCGGAAGAGAUAAGUGCUGAAAGCAUCUAAGCACGAAACUUGCCCCGAGAUGAGUUCUCCCUGACUCCCUGAGAGUCCUGAAGGAACGUUGAAGACGACGACGUUGAUAGGCCGGGUGUGUAAGCGCAGCGAUGCGUUGAGCUAACCGGUACUAAUGAACCGUGAGGCUUAACCUUACAACGCCGAAG